rnacentral:rRNA from 1 species
GAUGAACGCUGGCGGCGUGCCUAAUACAUGCAAGUCGAGCGAACGGACGAGAAGCUUGCUUCUCUGAUGUUAGCGGCGGACGGGUGAGUAACACGUGGAUAACCUACCUAUAAGACUGGGAUAACUUCGGGAAACCGGAGCUAAUACCGGAUAAUAUUUUGAACCGCAUGGUUCAAAAGUGAAAGACGGUCUUGCUGUCACUUAUAGAUGGAUCCGCGCUGCAUUAGCUAGUUGGUAAGGUAACGGCUUACCAAGGCAACGAUGCAUAGCCGACCUGAGAGGGUGAUCGGCCACACUGGAACUGAGACACGGUCCAGACUCCUACGGGAGGCAGCAGUAGGGAAUCUUCCGCAAUGGGCGAAAGCCUGACGGAGCAACGCCGCGUGAGUGAUGAAGGUCUUCGGAUCGUAAAACUCUGUUAUUAGGGAAGAACAUAUGUGUAAGUAACUGUGCACAUCUUGACGGUACCUAAUCAGAAAGCCACGGCUAACUACGUGCCAGCAGCCGCGGUAAUACGUAGGUGGCAAGCGUUAUCCGGAAUUAUUGGGCGUAAAGCGCGCGUAGGCGGUUUUUUAAGUCUGAUGUGAAAGCCCACGGCUCAACCGUGGAGGGUCAUUGGAAACUGGAAAACUUGAGUGCAGAAGAGGAAAGUGGAAUUCCAUGUGUAGCGGUGAAAUGCGCAGAGAUAUGGAGGAACACCAGUGGCGAAGGCGACUUUCUGGUCUGUAACUGACGCUGAUGUGCGAAAGCGUGGGGAUCAAACAGGAUUAGAUACCCUGGUAGUCCACGCCGUAAACGAUGAGUGCUAAGUGUUAGGGGGUUUCCGCCCCUUAGUGCUGCAGCUAACGCAUUAAGCACUCCGCCUGGGGAGUACGACCGCAAGGUUGAAACUCAAAGGAAUUGACGGGGACCCGCACAAGCGGUGGAGCAUGUGGUUUAAUUCGAAGCAACGCGAAGAACCUUACCAAAUCUUGACAUCCUUUGACAACUCUAGAGAUAGAGCUUUCCCCUUCGGGGGACAAAGUGACAGGUGGUGCAUGGUUGUCGUCAGCUCGUGUCGUGAGAUGUUGGGUUAAGUCCCGCAACGAGCGCAACCCUUAAGCUUAGUUGCCAUCAUUAAGUUGGGCACUCUAAGUUGACUGCCGGUGACAAACCGGAGGAAGGUGGGGAUGACGUCAAAUCAUCAUGCCCCUUAUGAUUUGGGCUACACGCGUGCUACAAUGGACAAUACAAAGGGCAGCGAAACCGCGAGGUCAAGCAAAUCCCAUAAAGUUGUUCUCAGUUCGGAUUGUAGUCUGCAACUCGACUACAUGAAGCUGGAAUCGCUAGUAAUCGUAGAUCAGCAUGCUACGGUGAAUACGUUCCCGGGUCU